rnacentral:hammerhead_ribozyme from 1 species
GUCCAGCUGAAGAGUCUCAAAAGGAACAAAACGCACGUCCUGGAU